rnacentral:rRNA from 1 species
GACGAACGCUGGCGGCGUGCUUAACACAUGCAAGUCGAACGGAAAGGCCCUGCUUGCAGGGUACUCGAGUGGCGAACGGGUGAGUAACACGUGGGUGAUCUGCCCUGCACUUCGGGAUAAGCCUGGGAAACUGGGUCUAAUACCGGACAGGAGCCAUAUUUAGUGUGAUGGUUGGAAAGUUUUUUCGGUGUAGGAUGAGCUCGCGGCCUAUCAGCUUGUUGGUGGGGUAAUGGCCUACCAAGGCGGCGACGGGUAGCCGCACUGAGAGGGUGGACGGCCACCUUGGGACUGAGAGACGGCCCAGACUCCUACGGGAGGCAGAAGGGGGGAAGAUUGCACAAUGGGCGCAAGCCUGAUGCAGCGACGCCGCGGGGGGGAUGACGGCCUUCGGGUUGUAAACUCCUUUCGCUAGGGACGAAGCUUUUUGUGACGGUACCUAGAUAAGAAGCACCGGCUAACUACGUG